rnacentral:rRNA from 1 species
AGAGCGAACGCUGGCGGCAGGCCUAACACAUGCAAGUCGAGCGCCCGUAGCAAUACGGGAGCGGCAGACGGGAUAGUAACGCGUGGGAACGCGCCCUUCGGUUCGGAAUAACUCAGGGAAACUUGAGCUAAUACCGAAUACGCCCUUACGGGGAAAGAUUUAUUGCCGAAGGAACGGCCCGCGUCCGAUUAGCUAGUUGGUGAGGUAAUGGCUCACCAAGGCUACGAUCGGUAGCUGGUCUGAGAGGAUGACCAGCAUCACUGGGACUGAGACACGGCCCAGACUCCUACGGGAGGCAGCAGUGGGGAAUAUUGGACAAUGGGCGCAAGCCUGAUCCAGCCAUGCCGCGUGGAUGAUGAAGGCCUUAGGGUUGUAAAGUCCUUUUAACGGGGAAGAUAAUGACGGUACCCGUAGAAUAAGCCCCGGCUAACUUCGUGCCAGCAGCCGC